AGGUGGAGAAGUGAUGGUAAAUUUCCACUCGAACUGUUGGGGAGCUAGUUACUGGUAGAAAGGCCCCAAGGCCGGGCUUCGGUGGCUGCAGUAGACUGGAUCUGGAUCUCUAAAUGGCAAUCUAUUGACAUGGCUGCCAGCGGUUGAAGACCUGAAAACUGUGACCCCUGUUGCCUAGCAACUGAGAAGCUCAGCCUCAACUCCGGGUGGGGGAGAUGAUGGAGAAAGCUUCCAAGAUCAUCCCCAUAUAGCUGUUCGAGACCUCAAUUUAUUGAACCUAAUGGAGAUGAGUGACAGAAUGGUGAGACUGAUGAUGAUUAUGAUGUGCAGCUUCACUGAGGUCAUGGGCUUGGUUAAUUCCCUUCCAAAGGGAUGGAAGGAGAGAAAGAGAGCAAGAAGGGUACUGCAUUUUGAUAAAUUGAAGGUUUGUGGAACGCUGCAUUGAGCAAGUCUAUUGGUACCAUUUUCCAACAGCAUGUGCUCACUUCAUGUCUCUGUGCCACAUUUGUGCUCCCAAAGCUUGCUGGCACAUAAACAUGAAUGAAUGAACAAUGUAGAAUUCACUCAAGAAAUUUCAAGGAGAGAGAGGAGGAGAUUUACAUCACACAGCAAACAACCUAAUAAAUCUGUUAAACGCCAUGCAUGUGAAUAGGCGUUUUCCUCUUUUUGACCCUUUCUUUCCACAUAGAACUCAGUGCUCCUUCCUCGUCCUCCGUUACAGUAUUUAUCGCCUUCCUUCUUCCACGCCGGGGAGCAGUCGAGGCUUGUGUUCUUCAGCGGACUUGCCAAAUCAUCCCCUCCAGCAUGCUGCUCUCUCCCUUCCACAGAUCAUCUGUUAAGAAAAUACAUUUUUCAUGUCGUUAAUUUACAUAUACAUGUGCAUUAUAUAUAUGUUUAUACAAUGAGAGAUUGUUAGGAAAAUCACUACCACAUAUACAUGCAUUAUAUAUAUUACAUAUACAUACAUAUGCAUUAUAUAUAUACCUGCACACACAUGCAUAUGGAAAAUUGUUAGGAAAAACAGCACAGUGGUAGUGUUAGUGCUGGUUGUCUUUCGGUGGU
ensembl:lncRNA novel transcript